rnacentral:rRNA from 1 species
CGGGGUGAGGGAUACAUCGGAAUCUGCCUUAUCGUGGGGGAUAACGUAGGGAAACUUACGCUAAUACCGCAUACGACCUACGGGUGAAAGCGGGGGAUCGCAAGACCUCGCGCGAUAAGAUGAGCCGAUGUCAGAUUAGCUAGUUGGCGGGGUAAUGGCCCACCAAGGCGACGAUCGGUAGCUGGUCUGAGAGGAUGAUCAGCCACACUGGAACUGAGACACGGUCCAG